GUCGAUGAAGAGUGCAGCCAACUGUGUGAAUUAAUGUGAACUGCAUACUGCUUUGAACAUCGACAUCUUGAACGCAUAUUGCGGCUACGGGAUAUCCCGUGGCUACGUCUGUCCGAGGGUCGG
rnacentral:rRNA from 1 species